UCGGUGCCACACUAUCUUGAACUGUGCUCGUGCCUGUCCAAAGGGAUUAAACCCAGGGAAACAGAUCACACACAUCAAGCAACUUCAGAAAUAAGGUUAACACAACAACACAAAUCAUGCAAUGCCCAUUGGAAUCUCAUUUAUCAAUGGGUUUUUUUUUGGAGCUAAUAAGUCUGCAAGAAACUCUGAUUUCGGAAUAAUUCUUGUAUUGCUUUUGCUAACUUACAAAUAUCAGAACAGAUGAGUUUGCUUUGCCUUUAUAUAAACAUCCCAUUUUCGAGUUUUGCUUUAUUUUACUGAAUAAAAAGAAAAACAAUGAUGACCCUAACAAUUCUACAAACAGUGUUUGAGCAGCAGAGCAGAUGAGUUUGUGUUCAUGUUUUUUAACCUUUGAUUUUAUAUUCCGUAAUAAGGCUCAAAAGUAAAGGCUGUACAAAGAUGAGAUCAAAUGACGUCACCUACAAUAUGCUAACUUGGCAGAUUCCUCCUGGUGGGACAGGACCCUCUUGGAAGCUUUUCGGGUUCUCGGCUACCUGAAUCCUUGAUCGUUUGUCUGAUGAUCAUGAUUAUGAAUCUGACGAUGAUGAUGAGGAAGAAGAAUAAAAAGGAAGUAAGGAAAUCGUGAAUAUAAAUGGUGAUGAUGGUGAAAAAAGAGAAGAUGGGUCUCAUGAUGAUGAUGAUGAUGAUGAUGGAAGGUUAGGUUUUUGUGAUGAUGAUGAUCAUGUGGAAGAAUUUGAUGAAGAGAAGAUGGUGUCUGGUUUAAGAAAUAAUGACUUAAUUACUUGCAGCCGUUUC
rnacentral:lncRNA from 1 species